UGUGUGACUACGGCGGUGGCUCUCAGCGGCUGACUCACUCCUCCAUCCGGUCCUUUUGAAAAAUCAGCCAGAGCCAGUUCUAGAGCUGAAACAAGUUCUUCAUACUUCAAAGAAACUUUGACGUCAUCGGGGCCGUAAUACGACUUCUGAACACGCCGUAGGCAAACAGAUACGACUUACUACGUCUGCACCGUAGACGAAAAUGUUUUCAUUUUGACAUUUUAAGCACCUCAAAUGUGGCUUAUGGAUAAACAAAUACGUGAUAAUCUGGCCCAGCCGCCUCGUUAACUAAUCGACGUGAGCACUUACCAAGAAAGGAUUCCUAAGGACAUGUUUAAUGAAAAUCGUUAUUUAUAAGCAGUUCACGGUGAACUGUAUCUCAUCCACGGUGUGGAUUUAGCAAACUACAACCUGCUGCCUUAGUCCUUCAAAUUCAGCCAAGUCAUUUAGAAUUUUGUAAUAUGUUUGAGAAAACAUACUAGUUUUACACUCUAAAGGUUACAUUGGAGUAUCUCUAAUCACGAACUGUAAUCUAUAGCAACAAAGCAGACCUAGCAAUAUCACCAUGACGGCCAUGAUUUUGAUAUCACGGUUCCCUGCAGUGGCUGCAAAAGCAGAUUUAAACCGAUUUAAACUCACAUAAAAAUAUGUCACGUGGAAAGCAAAAUAAAUGUUUUAUACUAGUA